CACAUUUUUAAACGCAGCCUGUUUGAAAUAACUUCGGAAUAACAACUAUCACUAGGAAGUUAUUGAAUACCAUCAUCCCCUGGCCAGCAACUUGUGCUGCACGCAGACCUCAUGACAGAACGACGAUAAAAAUGCCAGGGCUAAUUUCUACCACGGCGAUCAGCGCGUCGCAUUAAUCCAGGCAGCAAACUGUAAGGAAUGUGUAAGGGACUACGAGAACGUUGCCCAUUCCUUGUGUUUCUACGUGAAAUGCAUUUCUAGCCACACCCAUAAAGAACUUGUCUCUCCUGACAGUACACAGUGGGUUUUAUGCCUUUUGAACUGGUUUGGCUGUGCUGUGUGGACGGCUCGUUUACCUCUACAGGAGAAGGAUGAACCUCCAAGAGAACCCAGCAGAAUACCUUUCAAAUAGACCUAUCUGUAACCUUGGUAAAAAUAACUAUGGAGAUAAUGAUAAUGGAUAAUUAUAAACUUCAUAACUGGCAAAACAAGACUCUGCAUUUUAGAAGAUGAAUUGCCUUACCCUGUCCAGUAACCCACUUUAUGGUGCAGUAAUGGAUCUGCAUCCAGAGGGUUAUGCAAUGAAAUGGAGCCUUUGGCAAGCUGGAAUCACACUGGAAAUCAAGCAACAUCUUCAUGGGGUUUUUCACACAUUCAUAUUUGUAAAUCUGGAACUUAUCCCUUUUGACAUAAAGAGACAGUCCCUGCUUGGAAUGAUAAAAUUCUAGGACAGAUUAUGAAACAAUAAAGCAUUUAAAUAUUAUGGUGCAGCAGUACAACAGUAUAAUUACCCUUCCUUUUACUCAUUCAAGUGUAGUAUCCCUGAAAAGCUUUUUGCACUCCAGAUAAACUACUGACAAUACAUUAUAAAACAGUAAAUACAAUAUCAUAUAUAUUAAAAAAAAAAAUAUUUUUCAGACCUUUCUCUAGGUAAUUACUGAAACAGAUAAAAAUAUGGGGAAAUUAAGCAAAUACAGGCCCUGACCCAAAGGCCAAUGAACUCAGCAGAAGCACUGGUGUCGUAUGUAUUGUGAAUUACAAUUCACAAAUACAAAUAAAGAAUAUUAUUGUAUAUGUGUAAGGAUAAGGACUAGUUGUCUAGUUGUGGUGUCUAUGCAUUCCACUUGGAUAAAAUGAGAUUUUUUUCUCCAGCAGGUAGAGAGAGUUUCUCAGCAAGCAUGUAUCACCAAUAUUUAUGGGAGAGUUUGUGGUCCCAAAAGCACAGAGAUGCUGGGAAACAAAAAGGAAAGAAAAUGUACCCAAGGAGGAGAUCCAGCUGCUUCCAAGUCAUUUCUAUAAAUAAAAAUCUGAUGCGAACUCAUUAUCGUUUCCCU